rnacentral:lncRNA from 13 species
AGGCAAAGUCUCUCCUCCCCUGUUGCCACAGAAACAGACUAUUUGCUACAACUCUGGCUUGCCUGAGUCCUGAGCCAGCAAGAGCUCAUUCCAUAGCACCUGCACCCGUUUACUGCUGUUGCACGCAAGGCCUCUGUGUAUUCUGCAUCUGGGUGUGCCCCUCCCCUUCGGGAGGAGUAUUUUUCAGGCUGUACCGAAGACUGCAGCACUACGUCCUUGAUCUACUUCCUCCCGCCACGUCUCUGCUGAAGCUCCAUUGCUUUUGGCAACUCUUCCACCUGUUUUGUGGUUUACUUGUCUCCUGCUUUCACUAAAAAUGGAAUUUGUGUUUUUAUCUCUCAAUUCCUUUUUGUUUUUGGAUUACUUCCAGAAAAUGAAGAGAGGAUUACUAACUUGAUGCCAUCUUCAAAUCAGAAGUUCUUAGAUUAGUAAGAUCAUGUUGGCUGUGGCAUGGAGAGUGGGCUGGAGGUGGAGAGACUGGAGAUUGGAAGUCCAGUUAGGAGAUUUUUUUCCUGCGCUGGGGAGUUGGUGUUAGGACAGGGAAUCCAAGAUCCAAGAUGCAUUUCAGAGCUUCUCCCAGCCAAAAGAAUAAAACUUGUGAGAGGAAGGAAAACGCAGCCUCACUGAGGAGGCCUCCUUUCUGGAAGGGCUUCCCAGGCCCAGAGAAGGGAGAAAGUAAUUUGGAACCGCCCAGGUAUUGGUGAUGCCAGGCCUCACCUUGCCCUAGGGAUAUCUGAAUCUCAAAAAGGGAGCUUGGGGAUCUGACAUAGCACUUGCAUGUAUAAAACGAAUGCCUCCAAAUCCACAAGGCAAAAACCCCAGUAAAUACGUCGGCCCAAAACGUAGAAGAGCCACAUCACAAAGGAGGUCCUCCAAAUGGCCAAGAAACACACGAAAAGACAUUCAGCCUCAUUAGCCAUCAGGGAAAUUCAAAUUAGAACUACAGCGUGAUGGCUGAACGUGCAAAGACUGACAAUAUCAAGUGCUGGUGAGGAUGCGGAGGAACUGGAACUCUCCCAUGCUGCUGGAGAAAGGGUAAAUUAAUACCAUCCUUUGGAAGAACACUUUGGAA